GAAAAUGCUCGUGGUGAGGCUUUACUUUGUUUCCUACCCUAGGCCUUAGAGAAGCUUAUUUUAUUGCUUUUGAAAUUUAGUGGGCGUCCACAGGGUUCCUUGGACCUGAGGGUCUAAGUAGAUUAAGUUUUACGGAGCGGGGCGCGCGUCCAUUUGGUUCUAUUUGUGCGUGUUUUACAGACUUGAUCGCGGAAGACGCAGUUCAAAGAGCUGCUCCGCGAACUGCUUCACCUCUUCCAGAAACGAACUCGGCUUCUCCUUUUUCUCCACUCUCUGGAAUCGGGUCCCGAGUCUAUCUUUUUUCUACAGCAAUAGAUUCAGUUUUUUCGAUUUACGAUUACUGGUUUUCCGCAUCAGAUCUGAAGAGCCAUCGUUUCAUUUAUGGACUGAAAAAAAAGCAGG
rnacentral:lncRNA from 1 species